UGUUUUCUGUUCUAUUCAGUU
rnacentral:piRNA from 1 species